AGUCGGAGGGAGAACACCAGGCGCGGCGCGGGCGGCUCCGGCUCCGGCCCCGGCCCAGGCCCGGGAGAGGCGAUGGCGAGCCGCGAUAGCAACCACGCUGGCGAGAGCUUUCUCGGCUCCGACGGGGACGAGGAGGCGACCCGGGAGCUGGAGACCGAGGAGGAGUCGGAGGGCGAGGAGGACGAGACGGCGGCGGAGUCGGAGGAGGAGCCGGACUCCAGGUUAUCAGACCAGGAUGAAGAGGGAAAGAUCAAGCAGGAGUAUAUCAUAUCUGACCCCUCCUUUUCCAUGGUGACAGUCCAAAGGGAAGAUAGUGGGAUAACCUGGGAAACCAAUUCAAGUAGAUCUUCUACUCCUUGGGCUUCAGAAGAAAGUCAGACUUCUGGUGUGUGUAGUCGGGAAGGGUCAACUGUGAAUUCUCCUCCUGGAAAUGUUUCCUUUAUUGUGGAUGAAGUGAAAAAGGUUCGGAAAAGGACUCAUAAGUCAAAGCAUGGUUCACCAUCAUUACGCCGGAAAGGCAACAGAAAAAGAAAUUCUUUUGAAUCCCAAGAUGUUCCAACAAACAAAAAAGGCAGUCCUUUAACUUCAGCAAGCCAGGUACUAACCACGGAGAAAGAGAAGUCAUAUACUGGCAUUUAUGAUAAAGCAAGAAAAAAGAAGACCACUUCAAAUACACCUCCGAUUACUGGGGCAAUAUACAAAGAACACAAGCCAUUAGUGUUAAGACCAGUCUACAUAGGAACAGUACAAUAUAAAAUUAAGAUGUUUAAUUCGGUUAAAGAAGAAUUAAUUCCUCUACAAUUUUAUGGAACAUUGCCAAAGGGUUAUGUAAUUAAAGAAAUACAUUAUAGGAAAGGGAAAGAUGCAUCCAUUAGUCUAGAGCCAGAUUUGGACAAUAGUGGUUCUAAUACAGUGUCCAAAA
rnacentral:lncRNA from 1 species